rnacentral:rRNA from 1 species
GAUGAACGCUGGCGGCGUGCCUAAUACAUGCAAGUCGAGCGAAUGGAUUAAGAGCUUGCUCUUAUGAAGUUAGCGGCGGACGGGUGAGUAACACGUGGGUAACCUGCCCAUAAGACUGGGAUAACUCCGGGAAACCGGGGCUAAUACCGGAUAACAUUUUGAACCGCAUGGUUCGAAGUUGAAAGGCGGCUUCGGCUGUCACUUAUGGAUGGACCCGCGUCGCAUUAGCUAGUUGGUGAGGUAACGGCUCACCAAGGCAACGAUGCGUAGCCGACCUGGGAGGGUGAUCGGCCACACUGGGACUGCAACACGGCCCAGACUCCUACGGGAGGCAGCAGUAGGGAAUCUUCCGCAAUGGACGAAAGUCUGACGGAGCAACGCCGCGUGAGUGAUGAAGGCUUUCGGGUCGUAAAACUCUGUUGUUAGGGAAGAACAAGUGCUAGUUGAAUAAGCUGGCACCUUGACGGUACCUAACCAGAAAGCCACGGCUAACUACGUGCCAGCAGCCGCAGUAA